CGCGCGUGCGUACACCUGGGAACGGUUAUGCACACCCUCACAGGACUGCAUCCACACAAGCUACUCGGCGUGGUGGGCUGGGCCGAGAGACAGUCAGCUGGUCUCUUUGCUAAGCUACCAGAAGUCGGCUAACAAAAUGAAAAAACUUCUCCAGCAGGGGGCGCUGGUUCCUAAGUCAGAGAAAGGAUUUCGGGGAACACAAGGUUAGACACUUUCUGGUGCAGUCCCCACAAGCCACCUUAGGCUUUAAAGUCAACUUGACACGUCCCACGAGGAAGGGGGCAGGCACGGAUGCUUCAUCUCCCGAGGACCCGGGAGGCCUCCUGAGCCUUUGCUGAGCUUUCCCUGGUGCUCCUUUUUGCAGUCCAGCGAAUCCAGGGGACUGGGGCACACUGCAAGGGGUUGUGGUGGUGCUGGGGCUGCCAGAGGAGUGUCCCAACCAAGAAACUGGCGAAGCUGCAGACUCGACCUAGCAGUCCCCCACCUCUGGCCCACAGAGUUGGAGCCAGGCCCUGUCUUGGUUCUCAAUGCACUCAAAAGCUUAAAUCC
rnacentral:lncRNA from 1 species